rnacentral:rRNA from 1 species
UCUUUUGCGUACUUGUUGUUUCCUGGGCGGGUUUCGCCCGCCACCAGGACCACACCAUAAACCUUUUUUAUGCAGUUGCAAUCAGCGUCAGUACAACAAAUGUAAAUCAUUUACAACUUUCAACAACGGAUCUCUUGGUUCUGGCAUCGAUGAAGAACGCAGCGAAAUGCGAUACGUAGUGUGAAUUGCAGAAUUCAGUGAAUCAUCGAAUCUUUGAACGCACAUUGCGCCCUUUGGUAUUCCAAAGGGCAUGCCUGUUCGAGCGUCAUUUGUACCCUCAAGCUUUGCUUGGUGUUGGGCGUUUUUUUGUCUUUGGUUAUGCCAAAGACUCGCCUUAAAACGAUUGGCAGCCGGCCUCCUGGUUUCGCAGCGCAGCACAUUUUUGCGCUUGCAAUCAGCAAUAGAGGGCGGCACUCCAUCAAGACACUUUUUUUCACGUUUGACCUCGGAUCAGGUAGGGAUACCCGCUGAACUUAAGCAUAU